rnacentral:rRNA from 1 species
AUUUAGCCAUGCGAGUCGCACGAGUUCACACUCGUGGCAAACGGCUCAGUAACACGUGGCCAAACUACCCUAUGGACACGGAUAAUCUCGGGAAACUGAGGCUAAUCCGUGAUAGCGGUCCCAUGCUGGAAGGCAGGGAUCGUGAAACGCUCCGGCGCCAUAGGAUGUGGCUGCGGCCGAUUAGGUAGAUGGUGGGGUAACGGCCCACCAUGCCGAUAAUCGGUACGGGUAGUGAGAGCUAGAGCCCGGAGACGGACUCUGAGACAAGAGUCCGGGCCCUACGGGGCGCAGCAGGCGCGAAACCUUUACACUGCACGACAGUGCGAUAGGGGGAUUCCGAGUGCGAGGGCAUACAGUCCUCGCUUUUGUGUACCGUAAGGUGGUACACGAAUAAGAGCUGGGCAAGACCGGUGCCAGCCGCCGCGGUAAUACCGGCAGCUCGAGUGAUGGCCGAUUUUAUUGGGCCUAAAGCGUCCGUAGCCGGCCAGUCAGGUCCGUCGGGAAAUCCACUCGCUCAACGAGUGGGCGUCCGGCGGAAACCGUCUGGCUUGGGACCGGGAGAUCUGAGGGGUACGUCCGGGGUAGGAGUGAAAUCCUGUAAUCCUGGACGGACCAUCGGUGGCGAAAGCGCCUCAGAAGAACGGAUCCGACGGUGAGGGACGAAAGCUAGGGUCUCGAACCGGAUUAGAUACCCGGGUAGUCCUAGCCGUAAACGAUGCUCGCUAGGUGUGGCGCAGGCUACGUGCCUGCGCUGUGCCGUAGGGAAGCCGUGAAGCGAGCCGCCUGGGAAGUACGUCCGCAAGGAUGAAACUUAAAGGAAUUGGCGGGGGAGCACUACAACCGGAGGAGCCUGCGGUUUAAUUGGACUCAACGCCGGACAUCUCACCAGCUCCGACAGUAGUCA